rnacentral:rRNA from 1 species
CCGGCACGGGUGAGUAACACGUAUCCAACCUGCCGUCUACUCUUGGACAGCCUUCUGAAAGGAAGAUUAAUACAAGAUGGCAUCAUGAGUUCACAUGUUCACAUGAUUAAAGGUAUUCCGGUAGACGAUGGGGGUGCGUUCCAUUAGAUAGUAGGCGGGGUAACGGCCCACCUAGUCUUCGAUGGAUAGGGGUUCUGAGAGGAAGGUCCCCCACAUUGGAACUGAGACACGGUCCAA